rnacentral:rRNA from 1 species
GACGAACGCUGGCGGCGUGCUUAACACAUGCAAGUCGAGCGGUAAGGCCCUUUCGGGGGUACACGAGCGGCGAACGGGUGAGUAACACGUGGGUGACCUGCCCUUAGCUCUGGGAUAAGCCUGGGAAACUGGGUCUAAUACCGGAUAUGACCUCAUGACUCAUGUUGUGGGGUGGAAAGCCUUGUGCGGCUAGGGAUGGGCCCGCGGUCUAUCAGCUUGCUGGUGGGGUAAUUGCCACCAAGGCGACGACGGGUAGCCGGCCUGAGAGGGCGACCGGCCACACUGGGACUGAGACACGGCCCAGACUCCUACGGGAGGCAGCAGUGGGGAAUCUUGCGCAAUGGGCGAAAGCCUGACGCAGCGACGCCGCGUGAGGGAUGACGGCCU